rnacentral:misc_RNA from 1 species
ACGGAGUAGCAGGACAACGG